AUGGGUCGGGGAAAGGUGGAGAUCAGGCGGAUCGAGAACAAGACAACCCGGCAGGUGACGUUCACCAAGCGCCGGAACGGGCUGCUCAAGGCCUACGAGCUCUCGCUGCUCUGCGACGCCGAGGUCGCCCUCGUCAUCUUCUCCGGCGGCGGCCGCCUCUUCGAGUUCUCUAGCUCCUCAUGCAUGUACAAAAUACUUGAGAGAUACCGCACGUGCAACCAUAACUCACCAGAAGCAACCCCUUCAGCAGAAAAUGAAAUAAAUUACCAAGAAUAUCUGAAGUUGAAGACCAGACUUGAAUAUCUUCAAAGUUCACAAAGAAAUAUUCUCGGUGAGGAUCUGGGCCCACUUAGCAUGAGGGAGCUUGAGCAAAUUGAGAACCAAAUAGACAUAUCUCUCAAGCAUAUCAGGACAAGAAAGAAUAAAGUAUUACUUCAUGAGUUAUAUGACCUGAAAAGUAAGGAGCAAGAAUUGCUGGAUCAAAACAAAGACCUGAGGAAGAAGUUGCAAGACAUCAGCUGUGCCGAGAAUGCGCUCCAUAUGUCAUGGCAAGAUGGAGGGCACGGUAGCUCCAGUGGGUGGCAUGCCAUCGAGACUACUUAUCCCGGACUGCUGCAACGCCUGGAACAUGAUUCCUCCAGGCAAAUUGGGUACCAUCAGACCAGCAUGGACCAGCUGAACAACGAAGCCAUGGCUCCACAGUGCCUUGAUGGACACCUUGGAUCGACUGCAAGUUGGAUAUGA
rnacentral:rRNA from 1 species